rnacentral:rRNA from 1 species
GAUGAACGCUGGCGGCGUGCUUAACACAUGCAAGUCGAACGAAGCAUUUAAGACAGAUUACUUCGGUUUGAAGUCUUUUAUGACUGAGUGGCGGACGGGUGAGUAACGCGUGGGUAACCUGCCUCAUACAGGGGGAUAGCAGCUGGAAACGGCUGGUAAUACCGCAUAAGCGCACAGUACCACAUGGUACAGUGUGAAAAACUCCGGUGGUAUGAGAUGGACCCGCGUCUGAUUAGCUUGUUGGCGGGGUAACGGCCCACCAAGGCGACGAUCAGUAGCCGACCUGAGAGGGUGACCGGCCACAGUGGGACUGAGACACGGCCCAGACUCCUACGGGAGGCAGCAGUGGGGAAUAUUGCACAAUGGAGGAAACUCUGAUGCAGCGACGCCGCGUGAGUGAAGAAGUAGUUCGCUAUGUAAAGCUCUAUCAGCAGGGAAGAUAGUGACGGUACCUGACGAAGAAGCUCCGGCUAAAUACGUG